rnacentral:rRNA from 1 species
UACGUAGGCUGCAAGCGUUGUCCGGAAUUAUUGGGCGUAAAGAGCGCGCAGGCGGUUUUACAAGUCAGAUGUGAAAUAUCCUGGCUUAACCCGGAGGGGUCAUUUGAAACUGUAAGACUAGAGUACAGCAGAGGAUAGCGGAAUUCCCGGUGUAGUGGUGAAAUGCGUAGAUAUCGGGAGGAACACCAGUGGCGAAGGCAGCUAUCUGGGCUGAAACUGACGCUCAGGCACGACAGCGUGGGGAGCAAACAGG